UACGUAGGGAGCAAGCGUUGUUCGGAUUUACUGGGCGUAAAGGGCGCGUAGGCGGCAAUUCAAGUCAGCUGUGAAAUCUCCGGGCUUAACUCGGAACGGUCAGCUGAUACUGCUUUGCUAGAGUGCAGAAGGGGCAAUCGGAAUUCUUGGUGUAGCGGUGAAAUGCGUAGAUAUCAAGAGGAACACCUGAGGUGAAGACGGGUUGCUGGGCUGACACUGACGCUGAGGCGCGAAAGCUAGGGUAGCAAACGGG
rnacentral:rRNA from 1 species